rnacentral:rRNA from 1 species
AGUAGCGGCGAGCGAACGGGGAGCAGCCCAGAGUCUGAAUCAGCUUGUGUAUUAGUGGAACGGUCUGGAAAGUCCGACGGUACAGGGUGAUAGUCCCGUACACCAAAAUGCACAGGUUGUGAACUCGAAGAGUAGGGCGGGACACGUGGUAUCCUGUCUGAAUAUGGGGGGACCAUCCUCCAAGGCUAAAUACUCCUGACUGACCGAUAGUGAACCAGUACCGUGAGGGAAAGGCGAAAAGAACCCCGGCGAGGGGAGUGAAAAAGAACCUGAAACCGUGUACGUACAAGCAGUGGGAGCACCUUCGGGUGUGACUGCGUACCUUUUGUAUAAUGGGUCAGCGACUUAUAUUCUGUAGCAAGGUUAACCGUAUAGGGGAGCCGCAGGGAAACCGAGUCUUAACUGGGCGUUAAGUUGCAGGGUAUAGACCCGAAACCCGGUGAUCUAGCCAUGGGCAGGUUGAAGGUUGGGUAACACUAACUGGAGGACCGAACCGACUAAUGUUGAAAAAUUAGCGGAUGACUUGUGGCUGGGGGUGAAAGGCCAAUCAAACCGGGAGAUAGCUGGUUCUCCCCGAAAGCUAUUUAGGUAGCGCCUCGUGAACUCAUCUUCGGGGGUAGAGCACUGUUUCGGCUAGGGGGUCAUCCCGACUUACCAACCCGAUGCAAACUACGAAUACCGAAGAAUGUUAUCACGGGAGACACACGGCGGGUGCUAACGUCCGUCGUGAAGAGGGAAACAACCCAGACCGCCAGCUAAGGUCCCAAAGUCAUGGUUAAGUGGGAAACGAUGUGGGAAGGCACAGACAGCCAGGAUGUUGGCUUAGAAGCAGCCAUCAUUUAAAGAAAGCGUAAUAGCUCACUGGUCGAGUCGGCCUGCGCGGAAGAUGUAACGGGGCUAAACCAUGCACCGAAGCUGCGGCAGCGACACUAUGUGUUGUUGGGUAGGGGAGCGUUCUGUAAGCCUGCGAAGGUGUGCUGUGAGGC